UACGUAGGGGGCAAGCGUUGUCCGGAUUUAUUGGGCGAGAGAGCGUGUAGGCGGCCAGGUAGGUCUGCUGUGAAAACUCGAGGCUUAACCUCGAGCUGUCGGCGGAAACCAUCUGGCUAGAGUCCGGAAGAGGAGAAUGGAAUUCCCGGUGUAGCGGUGAAAUGCGCAGAUAUCGGGAAGAACACCCGUGGCGAAGGCGG
rnacentral:rRNA from 1 species